AAGAGUAUUAGAAAUGAUGUCUCCACACAAGAAUAAGACGCCAAAAUAUGUGCAAUUGCGUGUCUUUGGCUACCAGUGCUUUCCCGUGAGUCUGAGAUUAUGCCAAGUCAAAGUAUGAUCCUCACUCAAUUGCGUGUUUCUGGGAUGAUACAAGGGAUACCUGUGCUACUAUCCUACCAAGGGCGUGUCAUUUUUGAUGUCACAAUGUUCCCAUUUAGAUUUUCAGGAGAGCUAAUUUCUAUUUAUUAAACUCACAUUGACUUGUGUACUCUUGGUGAGCAUUUGUUUCAAGAAAUUGAUCAAAGUUCAGUGCCUUACGCCAUCUCACCUUACAAACUAAUAUAGAUUGACCUACUUACUAAAGGGUUAAUCCUAGCUCUUUAUGUC
rnacentral:lncRNA from 1 species